UGCAACUCCGACAGAUAAAGGAAAGUGAAUGCGGGUCAGGACUGGACUGGUCAUUCGGCGUACCGGGCAUUUUACCGGUGCGCGGAUAGAUAUGUGGUCAGACAAGUUUUGCCGUGGAGAUCUCCCACUUCGGCAAAAUUUACCACAGAGUCAAUGGUCCGAUUUUUUUUUUUAAAUCAAAGUCGAUCCCUGGUGCUACCUGCUAACACUUAUGGUCUGCACUGCAUUUUAUAUUCUUAUUAAAACCAUAGACGGUGACAUGUUUGAUAAAGGUUUGAUCGCCAGCAACACUGGGCAUGGUCCCGAGGGAGCCAAUACCUUUCUAUGCCAACAUUUGUUUGAUCGAUUUUCCCUCGGUUCUCGACGCAUUUCAGAGCAAAUAAGGGAUUGCAAAUGGCAGCGAGGAAGGCUGUGAUUUUUUUAUUUGGAAAAGUCGUGCUAACGUUAUAUUAUAGACCUACCUCUUUUUCUGUUACACACUAUCCUCAUACAUUACUGUAUUGUAUGUAUCUAGAUGGUAGUUUUGUGCUAAGAUGUAAGAAUGUAUAAGGUUGUUGUUUUGAGUUCCAUGAGAAGUUUUGCUCUAACAUUCACAUGAGUACUUAGCCAGCAUUGUCUUCUAUGUCAGUGGUCACAAAUGUUCAUUACUGUGACAGGCCAUGUCAUACUUAAAAGUAAAAUUGUACAAUUGCGUAUUUGCCAUCCAUCCAUCAUCUACCACUUUUCCAGGUCACGGGGGCAGCAGUCUAAGCAGAGAAACCCAGACUUCCCUCUCCCCGGCCACUUUGUCCAGCUCCUCUGGGGGAAUCCUGAGGCGUUCCCAGGCCAGCCAGGAGACAUAGUCUCUCCAGCCUGUGCUGGGUCUUCCCCAGGGCCUCCUCCCAGUGGAACAUGCUCGGAACAUCUCACCAGAGAGACGUUCAGGAGGCAUCCUGACCAAAUGCCCGAGCCACCUCAUCUGGCUCCUCUCGAUGCGGAGGAGCAGCGGCUCUACUGUAUGCGACAGGUUAUUAUGGUUUAUGAGAAGUUCUACAGAGUGAAGAAUGGACACUUGUCAAAAUGAAUGGUGGAUGGUAUCUAUGCAAAGAAAUGUCAGAUUAUCAAAAUGAACAUGAUUGACCCCAGUCACGGCCGCAGAAACGUGGAAUGAUGCCCAUAGUGUCACUAGUUUGACGGUGGUCCAGAAGGCCGGAGAAGCAGUGCAAAUACAGAUGAAGAAAGAGCUGAAGUCUAGACAGACUGUUGCUGAAAUUAGUUUGAUUGAAAUUCAAGGCCCAAAACGGACAACUGCCAGAUGGGUCCGGUCAAGGACCUUUGGUCCAUUUUGAAAUCAUGUACAGUUAUUGAUUUAAGAAACUGACGAAACCUAUAACUGAACCGCCCUGAAUACCAUCGUCGUGCGGUAAAUAUGGUAGACUUGAGGUGCUUUCUCUAGCAUCUUAUUAAAGAUGAGAUCUCCAAAAACUGACAAAACUUAGAUCUACAGCUACAUUGCAUUUUUUUGUUGUCUUUUCCCCCAGCUUUGCUCAUUUAUGCAGCUGUAUACUUUACCGGGUGAGAUAAGAGUAAGUCGUUUCCUCAGGAGUAUCUCAGAAGGUGUUGUUCCAAAUGUCUACUCUACUUGCAUCCCAAACAAUUUUCCCAUGCUGAGCAAAACUGCUUACGAUAUCUGUUUAAUAUUUUUGCAUGCUUAUUAUAAAAAACAAAUAAUAGCAGUAAAGUCUUACUUUAGAACUAAUAAAAUAUAAUCUUUUCUGAAGAAUCAAAAUAUUGAUCACUCUCUUUUGCACUUUGUACCCGGACCAA